AUUAAAUUAAGAAAUGAAUAUAAAUCUUUAUAAAAUUACAAUUUUCUAAAUUUCAAUGUUUUAUAAAAAAAAAUUAAAUAAUUUUAAGAGUUUAUGGAACAUGUAAUUUCACUAAUAUUUACUUUUGUUUUAAAUUAUGUAAAAUAUAAUUUUGAAAAUAAUCUAGUAUAUGUUUUUCUAGAUUUUGCUUGUACUAACAAAAUGGAUGAGAUAUCCGUAAAUGUUUGCAAAUAUCUGUAAAUUUUCUAGAUAUCUGAAAAAUCAGAUAUUCGUAUUUUCCGAACCAAAGCAAAUCAUAAAAUUAUAUAUCCUUUAAAUACGAAAAAUCAUAAAUACUAAAAAUUAUGGUAGUAUCGAUCCGUGCAGACCCCUCGUUUUACCAUAAUCAUGUUAAACUAAGUAGGUCAUCAAUAUUACUUUUAGAAUGGAUUUUAUCCUAACUAAGAACCCAAAAUUUCUUAAAAUAAUGUAACUAAAGUAUAGAUCUUACACCAUGAGAUGUCUCCACGUAUCUUAAUAAUUUAAAGCCAAUUUGGUUGGUUAAAUAAAUACGAGAGAUACCAUUGGUAGCGACAAAAGAAAAAAAUGUCACUGAGAGAUAUCAAGAGGAGCAAUAAUUGAAUUGAGUGGAGAAGAACGGUUACACCUUUUCAUUUAAUUUGGUUUAUCCUUUUCUCUAGUUUUGAUAGUAUUUCUUACACUUUUCGCCUCUCCGAUCCAUCGUUAUAUGUAAAGCCUUCUAUCAGUGAAGGAAGAGAUAAGAGGUAAAGAGAAAAGAUACAUGGGUUCUUCACAGCUAUGUCAAGCCUUCAUUGUGCUUCUGCUUCUUUGCGUCAUACCUUCCCUUGCUGAAUCUGCUAUACCGUUUCAUCAACAACCACUUUCAGUCAUCGGGAGAAGGUUGAUGAGUACAGGGAUAGAUACAGGACCAUCAACAAGUCGACCUGGUGGUGGUGGUAGAACUCCAUCCCCCUAGUUCUACAUCUAAACCCGUGGACAUGUGGUGCAGUGGUGGUAGAACUCCAUCCCCCUAGUUCUGCAUAUAUUAAUGUAAUGUGCAGUCUCUGAGCUCACAAGUCAAGCUUUUAGUUUAUUUCGAUUUUAUGUAUAUUGUAUAUGAGUUGAUCAAAAAACAAAAAUGAGAACCAAAUUAUAUA